rnacentral:lncRNA from 1 species
AUACCAACUUCCAUAAGAGCAUCCUUUUCAUUUUGAUGAUAUUAGGGAGUUAAUUAUUUGAGUAUUACUAAAUUUCAUCUUUUGAUUGAUUAUAUAAUGUUUGAGGCAAUAGAUUAGGAGUUAAUAGGAGUUACUAUAGCUUGCUACUGAUUCACUAUUCUCUGCUCAUUCAGAUGGCUUAAAUGGGAAACUUAAUAAUUUUCUGUGCAGCAUUUGUCUAAGAUGUAUUGUCAGUUUCAUUUUUAGUUAUUAAAUAGCACUUCACAUGAUGACUUUGCUUAAUUCUUCAGUUCAUUUCAUUCAACAGCAUAGUUGACUCAUUGUAGUGGUUUCUGACUGUAAUGUCAAUGAAACAUCUAAAGAUGGGAUACUCUGAGGUUUGAAGCAAUUUCUUACAAUAGCCAUUCUUGCAGCAAUGGUGCUUACAUCAUUGCCAUUCUUAAAUCCACAGUCCUGAAUGCAAUCCUUUUACUGCAUGAUGAUCAAUGCAGUAUUAAUAUAUUUUUAUGUUCUUUAUCAUUCAAAUAUCGUCCAUGAGGAUGUUGAUAUCUUUCUUAGUCCGACUCAGUCCUAUGAAGACCUGUCUAACUUACGAGAUCCUACCAAUGGUGAAGCUACUGUCAGCACAAUUCCCCAGGUUAUCAAAAAACUGAGUUUUUUGAUCAUUGUGAUUGAUCAGAAAAGAUACAAGCAGAUGAGUUAUUAUUAUUCUGUCAUUUUUUAGUAAUCGGCAUUGAUAAAAUUGAAACAAUUUUUAGAGAGAUCUCAAUAUUUUCAAG